rnacentral:misc_RNA from 1 species
CCAAACUUGGUCAUUUAGAGGAAGUAAAAGUCGUAACAAGGUUUCCGUAGGUGAACCUGCGGAAGGAUCAUUAACACGUAUCCACGUAUCAACCCCUCUGUGCACUUGCAAAAGAUAGGCGUGGUCGGAGUGUGCUGUUUGCUCGUCGUAAUGAUGGGAGUGUUGUAAUAACACUCGCGACAUAUGAGUGAGCGCACGCGUUUGACGAUCUCGCCGCUAUUUUCCCAUCGUUAGCCCUUUUUAACUUAUUUAACCCCUUUGUACUUCUCAUGUACUGAACCAAUUCUUUCGAUGCUUCCACUUCGUGUGAAGCGACGAAAAGAUAUUACGAAACUAAAAGAACAACUCUUAGCAACGGAUAUCUUGGUUCCCGCAUCGAUGAAGAACGCAGC